AUGAUUCCUCCUAGAAAAGACUGGGAGGUCAGCAUGAUAAAGGGAUUCCAGAGGGACAAGGCUAGACAAAGACAUGGCAUGGGAAAACAUAGCCAAUUCAAUGAAGGCAAAAUAUCUGAGUGUGGGAUGAGGUGUGGAAAUAGGAAGCAAUGCAGCACUUCCAGGAAAGAACAGAAUGACCAGACUUUGACUAGUUUCAGGUCUGGUCACAGCAUAUAUUACAGGAUGAAAUGGAAUAGGGAGCAAUGCUGGCACAGAGUACAUACAGUUUAACAGGAACUUAGAACCCAACAGGCAAACGGGUAGAGGCCAUUGACAGUUGAGACAGGUAUAUAACUUAGGGUAAUGGUGGCAUCAAAACUAGUUGCAAAAGAAGUGAAAUUAACAUUUACUGUAGAAACUUGACUUCCAGCUCCUACCAGCUGGCUUGCUAGAUCUUACCAUUACUCUUAAAUAUUCCCUACUUCUGGAUAUCCCCAAAGAUAUCCACAUUCAAUAAUAAACCAUGUUGACCAUAGUUAACACCUGCAUGCUCCAUGAAAGUAUAAUCUACUAAGACUCCGCCACGGCACUGCUGGCGACACUAUCCCUGGCCUCCAGCCUACAGCUGCUUGGCUGUCUCCACAGUACCAGCUAUAAUGAGGUGAUUUUGUUGGUACCCAAACUCUAAUCAAAGAAAUUACUUUCAUUUGGAAUAACUUCCUGACAGAAAUGAGCCCCCGAGGCUUGAGAGCAGUUUAAAGAGAGCUGACCUGCUGGGUAUGCUAUAGACAGGGGGGUUAGGAAGGAAAGGGGUGAAGAGGUGAGAAGCUAAGGGAAGGGUGCUGAGACUGGGGCUGUGUGGAAUGUCUUGAGACACUGAAGGGGCUCAGUUUCACAUCUCAACUGCACUACAAGGGAGUGCUGUGAGCUGUGCAGAAAUUCUUAAAGGGGUUUUGGAGUUGCCCAGACCAUGCAAAUAGGAAUUACAGGCAAAUUUCACUCAGAACAAGGGCCGGUAAGUUCCAGCUAAUACCGAGUACCAUAAAUUUCAAUCUAACCUGGUGGGUGGGCCAUGAUGGUGGCAGUAGUGGUAACUUCCCAAGCAAAUCUGCAAAUAAAACUCUUUCUCCUACAGAACAACCUUUUUCACUGUCAUAUAGUGUACUUGAAUUCCGGGAGCAAAGUUUGCUAUUCUUAAGGCCUUCACAGUUACAAAACUGUGACCCAUUCAAAUGGUUUUCCUAGGAGAAAAAAAACCUGCCCCCACUAAAAGGCCACUAGUCUUUCCAAAACUGGAAUUUACUUGUACUUAAAUUUAAUGGGGAAAAAAAAACCUUUAAUAGUUUUCUAGGGAGUGAAAUGAAAAGGCUGGGCGCAAACUGUUGAGGGAUUUCUUCUUUACACCUUUAUAAGCAGUCUAGGUNNNNNNNNNNNNNNNNNNNNNNNNNNNNNNNNNNNNNNNNNNNNNNNNNNNNNNNNNNNNNNNNNNNNNNNNNNNNNNNNNNNNNNNNNNNNNNNNNNNUGAGGGAUUUCUUCUUUACACCUUUAUAAGCAGUCUAGGUUUCAAAAUGAACUUGCAGUACUAUUUCCACUUUAUUAAAAAGCAUAUAUAGUCAUUAAAAAGAAUGGGAUAAAAAUAGAUGAAAAUGAAUUUUGUAUUACUAAUGAUAAAGCUGCAUCAAAAACAUAUAAUACCAUUUAUAUGAAAUAAUUGAUAUCAGAAGAUAUUUUAUCCACUGGACUUCUCUAAGGAAUAGUGGACUGUCUUAGAAAAGCAAUGAAUUUCAGAGGAAGCAGGUUCCCAGCGGUGUUUCCAAAGGCAGGCACUAGGAAAAAUUUUCAAGUUUAUAAAGUUUAAAGUCAAUAAGUUUAGGAAAUGCCCUAGUGGUCCAGUGGUUAGAGCUCUGCGCUCUCACUGCUGAGGUCCUAGGUUCUAUCCCUGGUCAGGGAACCAAGAUCCCACAAGCUAUGCAACAUAGCCAAAAAAAAAAAAAUUGUAUGAAGUUUACUUUAAAUUCCAUCAAUGAAAAGAUUUUUAAAUUAUAUAAAACACUUCACCAAACUGCCUACUAAUAUGCAGCCCACAAAUCGGGAGGGGAGGGAGCAAGACAUGAUUGUCAAAUUUCAGAUAAGAUUAUGUCACUUCUCAGAAACCUCCUGAGAGGUUGGAGAAGGAAAUAGCAACCCACUCCAGUACUCUUUCCUGGAGAAUCCCGUGGAGGGAGGGGCCUCACUUUCACUUUCAGAAACCUCCUAGCAAAUUAUCCUUGGGAGUCAGGAAAAGCCACAGGCCUUCCAGCACUGCACCCUGGGGAGCUGGUUUCCAGUGA
rnacentral:lncRNA from 1 species